UACAGAGGGUGCAAGCGUUAAUCGGAAUUACUGGGCGUAAAGCGUGUGCAGGCGGUUUGUUAAGUCAGCUGUGAAAUCCCCGGGCUUAACCUGGGAACUGCGUUUGUAACUGGCAAGCUAGAGUGUGGCAGAGGGGGGUGGAAUUCCAAGUGUAGCAGUGAAAUGCGUAGAUAUUUGGAGGAACACCAAUGGCGAAGGCAGCCCCCUGGGUUAACACUGACGCUCAUGCACGAAAGCGUGGGGAGCAAACAGG
rnacentral:rRNA from 1 species